GAUGAACGCUGGCGGCAGGCUUAAUACAUGCAAGUCGAGGGGCAGCAUGUCCCGUAGCAAUACGGGAUGAUGGCGGCCGGCAAACGGGUGCGGAACACGUACAGAACCUUCCUUCGAGCGGGGAAUAGCCCAGAGAAAUUUGGAUUAAUACCCCAUAGUAUAUUGGAGUGGCAUCACUUUGAUAUUAAAGUAUUAUCACUUGAAGAUGGCUGUGCGGCUGAUUAGGUAGUUGGCGGGGUAACGGCCCACCAAGCCUGCGAUCAGUAACUGGUGUGAGAGCGCGACCAGUCACACGGGCACUGAGACACGGGCCCGACUCCUACGGGAGGCAGCAGUAAGGAAUAUUGGUCAAUGGACGCAAGUCUGAACCAGCCAUGCCGCGUGGAGGAUGAAGGUCCUCUGGAUUGUAAACUUCUUUUAUAUGGGGCGAAAAAAGGCCUUUCUAGGUCGUCUGACGGUACCAUAUGAAUAAGCACCGGCUAACUCCGUGCCAGCAGCCGCGGUAACAC
rnacentral:rRNA from 1 species